rnacentral:rRNA from 1 species
UUCCAGGGCCAGGCUAGUCCGCCCUGGGUGAGUCGGGACCUAAGGCGAGGCCGACAGGCGUAGUCGAUGGAUGACGGGUUGAUAUUCCCGUACCCGUGUGCGUGCGACAAGUGAUGAAUCUUAUGGUACUAACCGCCCGCCUACGUGCACUGGUCUUUUUGGUUGGUGUGUGUGGGUGCGUGGGAUCUUCGUGGGUAGUAGUCAAGUGAUGGGGUGACGCAGAGUGGUAGCUAGGCUUCCUUAUUGGAUUGGAGUGCAAGCGUGUGGCCUGUGGGGUUGGGAAAUCCGCCCCGCAUUAAGGGUGAGGCGUGAUGCGGACACCAUGUUGUGGUGGUAGUUAGUGUGCCUGUGCUGCCUAGAAAAGCCUCUAGCGAGUGCGUGCAUGGCCCGUACCGGAAACCGACACAGGUGGUCAGGUAGAGAAUACUAAGGCGUUCGGGUGAACUGUGGUUAAGGAACUCGGCAAAAUGCCCCCGUAACUUCGGGAGAAGGGGGACCAUUACUGGUUGCUGACAGCAUUAUUGGCUGGUGGUGGUCGCAGAGGAGAGAGGGAAGCGACUGUUUAUUAAAAACACAGGUCCGUGCGAAAACGUGGAAGUUGAGGUAUACGGACUGACGCCUGCCCGGUGCUGGAAGGUUAAGAGGACCCGUGAGCACGCCUUAUGUGUGUGCGAGGCGGAGAAUUGAAGCCCCAGUAAACGGCGGUGGUAACUAUAACCAUCCUAAGGUAGCGAAAUUCCUUGUCGGGUAAGUUCCGACCUGCACGAAUGGCGUAACGACUUCCCUGCUGUCUCAACCACAGGCCCGGUGAAAUUGCAGUACGAGUAAAGAUGCUCGUUUCGCGCGGCAGGACGAAAAGACCCCGGGACCUUUACUAUAGCUUGGUAUUGGUGUUUGGUCAUGCUUGUGUAGGAUAGGUGGGAGACUGUGAAGCCGCAACGCUAGUUGUGGUGGAGUCGCAGGUGAAAUACCACUCUGGUGUGAUUGGGUACCUGAACCUUGGCCCGUGAUCCGGGUUGGGGACAGUGCCUGGUGGGUAGUUUAACUGGGGCGGUUGCCUCCUAAAUGGUAACGGAGGCGCCCAAAGGUUUCCUCAGUCUGGUUGGCAAUCAGACCUUGUCCACCCAAGCGCGUAUCUCUGGGUACUUAGCCUGAAAGUCUGCCUCAUCAGUGAAAAGGUAAUGUAAGCAUUCAUCAUCAUUGACCUGACGAAAACUAAGAUUGUCAUUGACAAAGUACUCUGUACCAUCACUGUGUACCUCCUUUAGGAUAUUGAAAGGCUUGAAGAAAAGUUCGGCUUCCUUACCAAAGAUAUCCAAUUGCCGCUUAAAAAGCGCUAUUUGCUGCUGGUAGUGCGGCAAAUCCAAAAACUUGAAAUCGCGUACUGACUGGUAUUGGCGAAUGAUAUGGUUGGGAUAUUUCUCCUUCAUCUCCUUGUCAGAAAGCUCCUUAGCGUCAGAGAUAAAAGCCUGAUACUCAGGAGUCUGCUGUAUCUUAUGGAGUUUGUCAUACAAAGAACUCUGUUCCAAAUAAUUGGCAUG